UGAAAUAUUUUCAGAGAUUCUACAUCAAC
rnacentral:piRNA from 1 species